rnacentral:ncRNA from 1 species
GACAUUUGGGGUGCCUUAGGCUGAGAUGAUACCCAUUGAACCUGAUACAGUUAAGACUGGCGAAGGGAAAUGUGAA